UACGGGGGGGGUAAGCGUUGUUCGGAAUUACUGGGCGUAAAGGGCUCGUAGGCGGCCAACUAAGUCAGACGUGAAAUCCCUCAGCUUAACUGGGGAACUGCGUCUGAUACUGGAUGGCUUGGAUUCGGGAGAGGAAUGCGGAAUUCCAGGUGUAGCGGUGAAAUGCGUAGAUAUCUGGAGGAACACCGGUGGCGAAGGCGGCAUUCUGGACCGAUACUGACGCUGAGACGCGAAAGCGUGGGGAGCGAACAGG
rnacentral:rRNA from 1 species